CUUUCUGGCAGUAGGACUAGUGUCCUUAUGAGAAGAGGAGGAGAUUAUCGGGAUACACGUGCACAGAGGAAAGGCCAUGUGAGAACACAGCAAGAAGGCAGCCAUCUGUAAGCCAAGCAGAGAGGCCUCAGGAGAAAUCAACUCUGCCACCCCCUUGAUCUUGGACUUGCAGCCUGCAGAACUAGCACAGGUUCCGGACGCGCAGGCCCAGUGGCCAUGGCUCACGGGCCCAGCCACUCCGCGGCAUGUGGGAUCUUCCUGGACCAGGGCACAAACCCGUGUCCCCUGCAUCGGCAGGUAGCGAGGUGAAGCAGAAUCGGCACAGUCUCUCAGUGUCAUAACCGGACAUGGGGUUGACCAUUGUACCACCAACCAUAAUCACCUACAGGGCACUUUCAGGGCCCUCUGUGCGAUGAACUGGACCUGGCAGCACUGGCUGUUGCACGAUUGGGACUGAUGCCAUGAAAACAACUGCCAACAAAUCAUGCCAUGAGUUGAUCAGACCCCAGAGAUAACGACUGUUAUUUUUAAGGAAUUCUGUAUAUGGUUGCAGGCAACACAACUUUCUCGUCUCCAUGGAACUGGAGCAGAGGUCAGAUUAUGCUGGGCCAAACUCCAAAUCUAUAGAACGAAUUUUCUAUUUUCCAACCAUUAAGGCGGACUGUCCUCAUAAAUUUAUGUAACUGUUCAAAGAGUGAGCCUUAUCUUUUUCCUAUUUCUCUCUCUAACUUCUUCCUCCCAACUUCAGAAUUGAAACACAGUAGGGACUCGUAGUACAAUAAAUAUUUUUGCAUA